rnacentral:misc_RNA from 1 species
CCAAAAGAUAAUCUUUCAAAUCGAAAGAUCUUUUCCUUUGUGCUGGCUUUGACCGUAUGUAAUUUUGGGACUUAAACAUGGUAGCAAUUUUUUGUUACCGGUCCCAAAAACAAUUAUAUCAUCCUUAUAAAAACUUACUGAACAACUAAACAAUGAUUUUAAUAA